AUUGAACGCUGGCGGCAGGCCUCACAUAUGCAAGUCGAACGCGUGGCGGACGGGUGAGUAAUGUCUGGGAAACUGCCUGAUGGAGGGGGAUAACUCCUGGAAACGGUAGCUAAUACCGCAUACCAUCAGAGGUGCCCAGAUGGGAUUAGCUAGUUGGGGGGGUAACGGCUCACCAAGGCGACGAUCCCUCGCUGGUCUGAGAGGAUGACCAGCCAUACUGGAACUGGGACACGGUCCAUACUCCUACGGGAGGCAGCAGUGGGGGAUAUUGCACAAGGGGCGCAAGGCUGAUGCAGCCAUGCCGCGUGUGUGAAGAAGGCCUUCGAGUAGUGAAGUACUUGCAGCGGGGAGGCGUUACCCGCAGAAGAAGCACCGGCUAACUCCGUGCCAGCAGCCGCGGUAAUAC
rnacentral:rRNA from 1 species